UACGUAGGGUGCAAGCGUUGUCCGGAACUAUUGGGCGUAAAGAGCUUGUAGGCGGUUUGUCGCGUCUGCUGUGAAAUUUCGGGGCUCAACCCCGAACUUGCAGUGGGUACGGGCAGACUAGAGUGUGGUAGGGGAGACUGGAAUUCCUGGUGUAGCGGUGAAAUGCGCAGAUAUCAGGAGGAACACCGAUGGCGAAGGCAGGUCUCUGGGCCAUAACUGACGCUGAGAAGCGAAAGCAUGGGGAGCGAACAGG
rnacentral:rRNA from 1 species